rnacentral:rRNA from 1 species
AUUGAACGCUGGCGGCAGGCCUAACACAUGCAAGUCGAACGAGUGGCGGACGGGUGAGUAAUGUCUGGGAAACUUCCGGAUGGAGGGGGAUAACUACUGGAAACGGUAGCUAAUACCGCAUACCAUCGGAUGUGCCCAGAUGGGAUUAGCGAGUAGGUGGGGUAACGGCUCACCUAGGCGACGAUCCCUAGCUGGUCUGAGAGGAGGACCAGCCAAACUGGAACUGAGACACGGUCCAGACUCCGACGGGAGGCAGCAGUGGGUAAUAUUGCACAAUGGGCGCAAGCCUGAUGCAGCCAUGCCGCGUGUAGGAAGAAGGCCUUCGGGUUGUAAAGUACUUUCAGCGGGGAGGCGUUACCCGCAGAAGAAGCACCGGCUAACUCCGUGCCAGCAGCCGCGGUAAUAC